UAGGGAAUCUUCGGCAAUGGGGGGAACCCUGACCGAGCAACGCCGCGUGAGUGAAGAAGGUUUUCGGAUCGUAAAGCUCUGUUGUUAAGGAAGAACGAGUGUGAGAAUGGAAAGUUCAUGCUGUGACGGUACUUAACCAGAAAGGGACGGCUAACUACGUGCCAGCAGCCGCGGUAAUACGUAGGUCCCGAGCGUUGUCCGGAUUUAUUGGGCGUAAAGCGAGCGCAGGCGGUUAGAAAAGUCUGAAGUGAAAGGCAGUGGCUCAACCAUUGUAGGCUUUGGAAACUGUUUAACUUGAGUGCAGAAGGGGAGAGUGGAAUUCCAUGUGUAGCGGUGAAAUGCGUAGAUAUAUGGAGGAACACCAGUAGCGAAGGCGGCUUUCUGGACUGCAACUGACACUGAGGCACGAAAGCGUGGGUAGCAAACAGG
rnacentral:rRNA from 1 species